rnacentral:lncRNA from 1 species
GGGGUUGUUGGGGAAAUUUGAAAAAGAAUUGUGAAAAGAAAAAGAAAAAGAGCAUUGAGCUAAGUGUUGAAUGAAAUUGAAAAAGAAAAGAAAAGAAAAGAGAAGAAGAAAAAGAAGGAAAAGCUCAAUGAAUGAAAUGUUGGGAGUAAGAUGAGAAUGGUUUCUCAAAUAUAAAGGAGAAAGAGAGAUUAUGGUUAAUGUGAA